UGGAUGGAAAGUACUUUUUUUGCACGAAAGUCUUUAAAACCAACCUU
rnacentral:tRNA from 1 species